CAAGAAUCAAGGAUAUACUUGACUGGUACCCAGCUCCUGUUCUAAGGUCAAUAACCUUCCCAGUCUACAAGGAGUGCCCUUCGGACCGUUAACGUUCUGUGCUGCCUGUCGUGUUUGUCGAUUUGGAGGAGUUCUCUAUCCACAGAGCAUGAGCAGUAAGCAAGAAAACAAAAGAGCAAAUACCUGGUGUGAUUACUAUUAAAUAAUUAGAAACACCUCCAUUCUGGCCCAACCAAAGAGAUCUACUGGUUCACAAGUCCAAGGUUCAUCUAUUCACAAAUUAAAAUUCACCUAGAUAAAGCUGACAUGAAACAAAUAUAACUGCUACCAGAAAUAAAUGCAUCUUUCUCAUCCCAUGUCCUUUCCCCUUCAGUGAAUUUUUUUUCCCAAUAGUUGAAUUUUAUUCUUGUUUGGUCUGACUGUUGCUUUAGCUGAAAAAUCAAAAAAGCUUAGUUUUCAUGUGUCUCCCAUAUCACUGAAACACAGGGUUGCUGUAGCAAUCAUAAAUGCUAUGUUUAAACUGAUGCUAUCAUCUUUGAGUUGUGUAAAAAAAAAAAAACUUCCAUUAUUACUAAGAUUUACUUCAUUAUACUAUGGCAUCUUAAUAUAUUUAUUAUAUACAGAUGAGUAAUAAAUUAAAAUCAAACAACGUCAAGGUACCUUAGUAAGGUGUUGGGCUUCCUUGAGCCACCAGAAUGCUCUAAAACUACUGGAGGGGUUAAUACUCUUAAUAAUACCAAGUAAUAAAUCAAUGUAGGUAGUGCUUGUUAUUAAGAAAUACUUCUAAAGUAGUUCUUACAAAUGCUGCAAUUUUAAUGCUAAAUUCUGCAAAAUGUUAAUGCUUAAAAAAAGGGAUCAUAAAAGCUGUCUUUUGUUUUUUUAUUUAGUGCUGCCCUGAAUAAGCUAUUUCACACAGCAGAUGUUUAAAUGUAGUCCACAAAACAAAGUAAUAACUGAAUUUACACAAAUUAACCAGUUCAAAAGUUUACAAAAGCUUGAUUCUUAAUACUGUGUGUUGUUAUCAGGAUGAUCAACAACUGUUUUUAUGUCUUGCGAUAGUUGUUCAUGAGUCCUUUAUUUGUCCUGAGCAGUUAAACUGCCCACUGUUCUUCAGAAAAUCCUUCAGGUCCUGCACAUUCGUUGCUUUUCCAACAUCUUCUGCAUAUUUGACCACUUUCCAACAGUGGUUAUAUGAUGUUGAGAUCCAUCAUUUCA